UAGCUAGUUGGUGAGGUAACGGCUUACCAAGGCGACGAUCUGUAGCGGGUCUGAGAGGAUGAUCCGCCACACUGGAACUGAGACACGGUCCAGACUCCUACGGGAGGCAGCAGUGGGGAAUUUUGGACAAUGGGGGCAACCCUGAUCCAGCCAUGCCGCGUGAGUGAAGAAGGCCUUCGGGUUGUAAAGCUCUUUCGGCCGGGAAGAAAUCGCAUGGGCCAAUACCCUGUGUGGAUGACGGUACCGGAAUAAGAAGCACCGGCUAACUACGUGCCAGCAGCCGCGGUAAUACGUAGGGUGCGAGCGUUAAUCGGAAUUACUGGGCGUAAAGCGUGCGCAGGCGGUUCUGUAAGACAGGCGUGAAAUCCCCGGGCUCAACCUGGGAACUGCGUUUGUGACUGCAAGGCUAGAGUACGGCAGAGGGGGGUGGAAUUCCACGUGUAGCAGUGAAAUGCGUAGAGAUGUGGAGGAACACCAAUGGCGAAGGCAGCCCCAUGGGUCGAUACUGACGCUCAUGCACGAAAGCGUGGGUAGCAAACAGGAUUAGAUACCCUGGUAGUCCACGCCCUAAACUAUGUCAACUAGGUGUUGGGUGGGUAAAAACCAUUUAGUACCGUAGCUAACGCGUGAAGUUGACCGCCUGGGGAGUACGGCCGCAAGGUUAAAACUCAAAGGAAUUGACGGGGACCCGCACAAGCGGUGGAUGAUGUGGAUUAAUUCGAUGCAACGCGAAAAACCUUACCUACCCUUGACAUGCCAGGAACUUGCCAGAGAUGGCUUGGUGCCCGAAAGGGAGCCUGGACACAGGUGCUGCAUGGCUGUCGUCAGCUCGUGUCGUGAGAUGUUGGGUUAAGUCCCGCAACGAGCGCAACCCUUGUCGUUAAUUGCCAUCAUUUAGUUGGGCACUUUAGCGAGACUGCCGGUGACAAACCGGAGGAAGGUGGGGAUGACGUCAAGUCCUCAUGGCCCUUAUGGGUAGGGCUUCACACGUCAUACAAUGGUCGGUACAGAGGGUCGCCAAGCCGCGAGGUGGAGCCAAUCCCAGAAAGCCGAUCGUAGUCCGGAUUGCAGGCUGCAACUCGCCUGCAUGAAGUCGGAAUCGCUAGUAAUCGUGGAUCAGCAUGUCACGGUGAAUACGUUCCCGGGUCUUGUACACACCGCCCGUCACACCAUGGGAGCGGGUUCCGCCAGAAGUAGGUAGCCUAACCGCAAGGAGGGCGCUUACCACGGCGGGGUUCGUGACUGGGGUGAAGUCGUAACAAGGUAGCCGUAGGGGAACCUGCGGCUG
rnacentral:rRNA from 1 species